rnacentral:lncRNA from 1 species
CAAAAUUGAUCUUAUAGAUACAUGGUUAGGCCGAUGAUUUUUAUUUAUUUUUGAAAUUCACAAUUCUAAUUUCCAAUCUUCAGCUAUUUCUGAUGUCAACAAACAUGUCAUCUAGGAUUCCUCUUUCAGCUACUCAAGUGUACAGAGGAGGAGGAAAAAAAAUAGUGGCUGCCAAAAUUCCUGGAGAAAACGGCUGCUCACAUGGUCAUAGCCCAGGAGAUCAGGCAGGUAUUACUUUUGAUCAGAUUUGGCUACAUGCAUGUUGUCCCAUAGUACUAGGUUCAGGUAUUACUUUUAAUCUGAUUUGGUGACAUGCAUGUUAUACCAUCGUACUAGGUUCAACUAAUAUGUUUGUUCAGUCUCCAAGUUAAUAUGUAUGAUUCUCGCCAAAAAAAAGUUAAUAUGUAUGAUAUAUUUACUUACAAAUCACUCAACAGUCCGUACCUCUUAUGUGGCGACAUAAUAAGGAUCAGUUAGGAUAAGGAUUAUGUUUUUUGAUUACUUAUUCUUAUUUGAGAUGACCACGCAUACAUGCUUCUAGGAUACCACUAUUGUUAUGUUUUGUUUGUUUAUUGCAGAAUCUGAACGAAUGAGACUUCAGAAAGAGGAUUGUUUUGGGGAUUAGAAUAUUAUAGCAUUUACUUCCUUGAGAUAAAAUAUAUUCGCCAAUAUAUGAGUCACAAACAUUGAAUCAUUAAAAAACUUUCUUCCUACACACUUCUAUAUUAACUAUUCGUUCCUUUUAUUUUGUACAACACCGACUAAAAUUUUAAGUGUUAGGAGUAGCAGCUCCUUCACUAUUUACAAGUACGGUUAUAGAGUUAAGACUGAAUUAUGGUGGACAUAACUAUAGCUCUAGCUAGCAAUAUGGCGAUAUUAAUCUCCUGAUCUGGAUAAUCUGAUGAUUUAUACAGAUAAGUUAAUCUUUGAUCUUGUGGUUUUCAUGGUGUUAUGUAUCAUGAUAAGGUAAAUUCAGCAACGAAAACACAGUUGACGUUUUGUGCUUGCUCGGAAUUUCGUUUGAACUGUACCGCUUUGUAUGUUUAUUUUUUGCCACCUCCUAUUGUGUAUGCAAGAUGAUCCUUUAUUUUCUAUGUUGUCUUUUCGUUCAAGCAAAUUCAGUUUUCUAUAUAUAUUUUCCUUUCGUAGAUUAGAUGACUUAUAAUAUAGAAAUAUCUUACACUUGCAUGUUCUUUUUUAGGCGCUUAUGCAGUUCACAGUCAAUGGAUUCCAUUAUGCAUACUCUUAGGCCUUCCACUAUGUAGGCCAAAAGUGAUGCCAUAUUCACUUUUGAUUCAUUUGGCACCGGUGCCCUUCAUUGCCCAGCUGGUGCCUUAAGAAAAAAUAUGGGAACCAGAGCAAGUAGCUGCUCCGAUGCCAAAUUCAGUGAGGCAAUAAAAAAUCCAUAUCUUGCAUGCAGAAUAGAUGGAAUGGGUUCCGUGUGAGAGGAAGACUAGUACUUCGAUCAAUUAUUCUGCUAGAUGUGGGCCAGUCUUUCACCGGUGCCACAUUGUCUACGUUGUGAGAGGGGUACCAAAAGCUUUUCAUCUGACAUCGAUGUAUAUGUGGCACACUUGUCAGAAUUUUGGCACCAGAUACAUAGUGGAGGGCCUUAGCAGUGAUAGUAUAGCCAAGUUCAAAACAAGUGGAGUAACAAUUCAUCGUCAAUAACGAUUCUCGCUUCCAGUUAAAGUUAUUUGUCAAUUAAUUUUUUUAGUGAGCCCAAGGUGAUCAUUUAUGUACUUUAAUUCUCCAAGUUACACACUUUGAAGCUGCAUUGAGGACAAUAAUUGUUUUUUUGUCAAUAAUCGCCUGCUAUCUGACGCCCAUACUGUCUGCGUCAUCCUUUUCUAGCACAAUUAACUAACAAUUUAUCUCAAGGUUGUUGAUGAAGUGCAAGUGGAGGUGCAGGUAUUGCGACGUCAGUUUGAAGCUGAUCAGGCAGUUCUACAGCUUUAGUAGUCAGCUU